rnacentral:lncRNA from 1 species
GGGGUAUUUUUGCUGAUGAUGUCACCGGUGGUACAAUUUUUCAAAGGAGCCCUCAAUUGGCUUAAUGUCAUGGCAUUUUGCAUCCUCCUCUACUAGUGAUGGUCUAAAAUUUGGGGGCCAACAGAGGUGAGGCAAAGAACCUCACCCCCCCACAGGUGCAAAGGCCUAUCCACAAGUAUGGCUGUAUGCUGGACCGGUAGUCAGUGACGGGUAUGAUCCAAUUGCAGUGGUACCAACCUAAGACAGGAGGCUGACGCCUAGAGGUCAGUUCAUCCCAUGACGGGUAAGGACCAUAUGUUGAAUUGGACUGCCUAACAGGCACGGUCCCUAAGCCACAUGCUUGUUGUUUAAACAGAGAGGGGGAGAUGUUGAGAGCCACAGCCAAAGGGGCCCCAGCAAACUUCCAGCUGCCAGC